UACGUAGGGUGCAAGCGUUGUCCGGAAUUAUUGGGCGUAAAGAGCUCGUAGGCGGUUUGUCGCGUCGGCUGUGAAAUCCCGAGGCUCAACCUCGGGCCUGCAGUCGAUACGGGCAAACUAGAGUGCGGUAGGGGAGACUGGAAUUCCUGGUGUAGCGGUGAAAUGCGCAGAUAUCAGGAGGAACACCGGCGGCGAAGGCAGAUCUCUGGGCCGUAACUGACGCUGAGGAGCGAAAGCAUGGGGAGCGAACAGG
rnacentral:rRNA from 1 species